ensembl:lncRNA
ACCAAGGCCAUCAGACACAACAACUUAUUUAAAAAUUAAUUCCAAGGAUGUCGCAAGAGGAGCCCAGAGGAUUUUAUGCACCUGUUUUGCGCCACCCAGUGCCUGAAGCAAGGCCAGCAGAGACGAACACUCACAGCUGUCUUCACAACUCAUUCUUAGUACGCAUGAUGGACCAGACGGCACCAUCGUUAACACUGCAAUCUAAAAAGUCCAGCCGCCGAAUUCAUGGCUCUCCUUAUACUGCUGGGUCAAGCUGCGGGG